UACAGAGGGGGCAAGCGUUGUUCGGAAUUACUGGGCGUAAAGGGCGCGUAGGCGGCCGCCUAAGUCAGACGUGAAAUCCCUCGGCUCAACCGGGGAACUGCGUCCGAUACUGGAUGGCUUGAAUUCGGGAGAGGGAUGCAGAAUUCCAGGUGUAGCGGUGAAAUGCGUAGAUAUCUGGAGGAAUACCGGUGGCGAAGGCGGCAUCCUGGACCGAUAUUGACGCUGAGGAGCGAAAGCUAGGGGAGCAAACGGG
rnacentral:rRNA from 1 species